rnacentral:rRNA from 1 species
AACGAACGCUGGCGGCAUGCCUAACACAUGCAAGUCGAACGAGACCUUCGGGUCUAGUGGCGCACGGGUGCGUAACGCGUGGGAACCUGCCCUUAGGUUCGGAAUAACUCCCCGAAAGGGGUGCUAAUACCGGAUAAUGUCUUCGGACCAAAGAUUUAUCGCCUUUGGAUGGGCCCGCGUUGGAUUAGCUAGUUGGUAGGGUAAAAGCCUACCAAGGCGACGAUCCAUAGCUGGUCUGAGAGGAUGAUCAGCCACACUGGGACUGAGACACGGCCCAGACUCCUACGGGAGGCAGCAGUGGGGAAUAUUGGACCAUGGGCCAAAGCCUGAUCCAGCAAUGCCGCGUUGAUGAUGAAGGCCUUAGGGUUGUAAAGCUCUUUUACCCGGGAUGAUAAUGACAGUACCGGGAGAAUAAGCUCCGGCUAACUCCGUG